GACCCUCGGCGGACGGCUCAGUAACACGUGGGUAAUCUACCCUCAGGACAGGGAUAACCCCGGGAAACUGGGGAUAAUACCUGAUAGGUGGAGAGGUCUGGAAUGAUUCUUCACUUAAAGCUCCGGUGCCUGAGGAUGAGCCUGCGCCUGAUUAGGUUGUUGGCGGUGUAAUGGACCACCAAGCCGAAGAUCAGUACGGGCAGUGAGAGCUGUAGCCCGGAGAUGGGGGCUGAGACACGGCCCCAGGCCCUACGGGGCGCAGCAGGCGCGAAAACUCCGCAAUGUUCGAAAGAACGACGGGGGAACUCCAAGUGCACUUGCGUAAGCAAGUGGUUUUUAGUAGUGUAAAUAGCUGUUAGAAUAAGAGCUGGGUAAGACCGGUGCCAGCCGCCGCGGUAACACCGGCAGCUCGAGUGGUGACCGCUUUUAUUGGGCCUAAAGCGUUCGUAGCCGGUCCAGUAAGUCUUUGGGCAAGUCUUCUCGCUCAACGAAAAGAAUUCCGAGGAUACUGCUGGACUUGGGGCCGAGAGAGGUUAGAGGUACUCCUGGGGUAGGGGUGAAAUGUUAUAAUCCUGGGGGACCACCAGUGGCGAAAGCGUCCGACCAGAGCGGGCCUGACGGUAAGGGACGAAAGCCAGGGGAGCGAACGGGAUUAGAUACCCCGGUAGUCCUGGCCGUAAACGCUGUGGGCUAGGUGUUGC
rnacentral:rRNA from 1 species